AGAUCAAGAGAUUCUGUUCUUGUUAGGCUAAACUAGUGGAGGGGAAGUCUGUCAACAAAUCUGGUAGCAAGAACAGACAAGAACAUGAACGGAGGAUAUAAAAUACAAAAAUGGAGGCAGAAAACGCAACUAAGGUUAGACAGGCACCAGACAAGUAAGGUGACACUGACUAUGCUGCAGCCCUAGGGCCAGUAGGCUAUAGGCAUUAGGAGGGAGGUGUGUGUCAAUUGCUCACUGUGAAGGCUACGAGUUGCACCAUGUUUUCACCUCAGUGACUGUUGUUGUUCAGUUAUGUUAAAGGAGUUAUGUUCAGUUAUGUUAAAAGUUGAACGCGACAUUUAAUUUUACUCUCGGUGGUGGACUGACUUUUUCGGCCAGCGCAUCUCAACUUUCAAUCAAGGCCGAUGGCGUAUGCUCAGAUCAAAGGUUGUGUGAUUUUGACAGUCGGGCUGCAGUUUUUCUUGGUGCUGCUUCACUCUGCUACUGGUGGUGGAUCAGGC